GUAACAUCCCAUACAACUGUAAUGUGAUACCUAGUGUUCAUACAGCGCAUUAACAAAGUAUGAGGCAAUGCAACAUUACAGAGCUUCUGCUAAUAUGAAUAUGUGACAGCAUUGUAAAUGUUAAUUAUUUACUGAUGGUUUAACUGUUUCACAGAUAGUUGUUGCUGACUUCUGCGUCUAAACAGACCAUAUUACUUACAGGAGGACCAAAUACUUUAAAAAAUAUUUUUGAAGUGUGAGGACACACACCAUUUGAAGAUUCCAAAAUUAAGGUCUAUUGAAGAAUCACAAACCCAAGGAAAAAGAUAACAUUUCAGUUUUCAAUUAUGACUUUGCACAGAACCAUCACGUUCAGUUUUAGAUCUGAAGAACAGAAGGUCCAAGUGUUACUGACAACCAGAAGAGAGAGCGAUGAUGAACUACAGUCCCUACAACAUGUGCCACAAAAUGGACAUGGUUCCCACCUGUUACAGGCUGCCUGCCGUCCCGGCCUGCAGGUGCACGCCGCUGCGACACCCAGCACAACCCCAGCGCGGGAGGACGGAGCCGCUCCC